rnacentral:rRNA from 1 species
AACGAACGCUGGCGGCGUGCCUAACACAUGCAAGUCGUGCGAGAAAGUUCCUUCGGGAGCGAGUAAAGCGGCGCACGGGUGAGUAACACGUAGGUAACCUGCCCCCCAGUCUGGAACGAACUAGAGGAAACGUACUAGCUAAUGCCGGAUGAGACCACGAUCCCUUCGGGGGUUGCGGCCAAAGAUGGCCUCUACUUGUAAGCUAUCGCUGAGGGAUGGGCCUGCGGGCCAUUAGCUUGUUGGUGAGGUAACGGCUCACCAAGGCUGUGAUGGCUAGCUGGUCUGAGAGGAUGACCAGCCACACUGGGACUGAGACAC